rnacentral:rRNA from 2 species
GACUCUCGGCAACGGAUAUCUCGGCUCACGCAUCGAUGAAGAACGUAGCAAAAUGCGAUACUUGGUGUGAAUUGCAGAAUCCCGUGAACCAUCGAGUUUUUGAACGCAAGUUGCGCCCGAAGCCAUUCGGCCGAGGGCAUGUCUGCCUGGGCGUCACGC